GGGGAUAGCCGUUAGAAAUAGCGGGUAAUACCGAAUAUGGUCUAGUUGAAAGAUUAGAAGAAAGGCGCUCUGGCGCCGCCUUAAGAUGGGCCCGCGUCCCAUUAGCUAGUNGGGGGUGUAAAGGACAACCAAGGCGAUGAUGGGUAGCCGGCCUGAGAGGGUGAACGGCCACACUGGGACUGAGAUACGGCCCAGACUCCUACGGGAGGCAGCAGCUAAGAAUAUUCCGCAAUGGACGAAAGUCUGACGGAGCGACGCCGCGUGGAUGAGGAAGGCCGAAAGGUUGUAAAAUCCUUUUGUUGCUGAAGAAUAAGCGGGGGAGGGAAUGCCCCCGUGAUGACACAAGGCGAUGAAUAAGCCCCGGCUAAUUACGUGCCAGCAGCCGCGGUAACACGUAAGGGGCGAGCGUUGUUCGGAAUUAUUGGGCGUAAAGGGCACGUAGGCGGUUUUAUAAGCCUGAUGUGAAAGGCCGGGGCUUAACUCCGGGACUGCGUUAGGAACUGUAGGACUUGAGUCAUGGAGGGGGAGUUGGAAUUCCAGGUGUAGGGGUGAAAUCUGUGGAUAUCUGGAAGAACACCGGUGCGAAGGCGAAC
rnacentral:rRNA from 1 species